AGAGUUUGAUCCUGGCUCAGGAUGAACGCUAGCGAUAGGCUUAACACAUGCAAGUCGAGGGGCAGCGAUGGUAGCAAUACCUGUCGGCGACCGGCGCACGGGUGAGUAACGCGUAUGUAACCUGCCCGCAACAGAGGGAUAACCCGGCGAAAGUCGGACUAAUACCUCAUAAAACAGGGGUUCCGCAUGGGGCUAUUUGUUAAAGAUUUAUUGGUUGCGGAUGGGCAUGCGUACCAUUAGGUAGUUGGUGAGGUAACGGCUCACCAAGCCAUCGAUGGUUAGGGGUUCUGAGAGGAAGGUCCCCCACACUGGUACUGAGACACGGACCAGACUCCUACGGGAGGCAGCAGUGAGGAAUAUUGGUCAAUGGGCGAGAGCCUGAACCAGCCAAGUCGCGUGAAGGAUGACUGUCUUAUGGAUUGUAAACUUCUUUUAUACGGGAAUAACAAGAGUCACGUGUGGCUCCCUGCAUGUACCGUAUGAAUAAGCAUCGGCUAACUCCGUGCCAGCAGCCGCGGUAAUACGGAGGAUGCGAGCGUUAUCCGGAUUUAUUGGGUUUAAAGGGUGCGUAGGUGGGCUGUUAAGUCCGCGGUGAAAGUUUGUCGCUUAACGAUAAAAUUGCCGUUGAAACUGGUAGUCUUGAGUAUAGAUGAAGUAGGCGGAAUGCGUGGUGUAGCGGUGAAAUGCAUAGAGAUCACGCAGAACUCCGAUUGCGAAGGCAGCUUACUAAGGUAUAACUGACACUGAAGCACGAAAGCGUGGGUAUCAAACAGGAUUAGAUACCCUGGUAGUCCACGCAGUAAACGAUGAAUACUAGAUUUUUGCGAUAUAGUGUAAGAGUCUAAGCGAAAGCGAUAAGUAUUCCACCUGGGGAGUACGCCGGCAACGGUGAAACUCAAAGGAAUUGACGGGGGCCCG
rnacentral:rRNA from 1 species